rnacentral:lncRNA from 1 species
CUCAAGCGCUCUGAUAGUGUUGAACACGGUGACUUUCUCUGCGGCGGCCUUGCCGCUGCCGCUGCCACUGCCGCCCUGCCCCACGGCCGGGCCAGCCGCUUGCGCCGCUGUGGUGUGAGGAACGGUGGCCGCGGUAGCGGCGGCAGUGGCAGCCGGUAGCGGCGGCUCAACUUCUGGGAUGACACGCUGAGUCAUGGCGAA